rnacentral:misc_RNA from 1 species
UCCGGUUUGUCACCGGCAGUCUCAUUAGAGUGCCCUUUCGAAGCAACGCGAAGAACCUUACCAGGUCUUGACAUACCGGGAUUAACCGAGUGAAAGCUCGGGGAUUGCCCUCAAGGUGUAACCGGAACAGGUGCUGCAUGGCUGUCGUCAGCUCGUGCCGUGAGGUGUUAGGUUAAGUCCUUUAACGAGCGAAACCCCUACGUUCAGUUACCAGCGCGUGAUGGCGGGGACUCUGGACGGACUGCCGCGAAAGUAGGAGGAAGGUGGGGAUGACGUAGACCUUGGACC